UGAGUUGGCUGGGUGGCCGCAGUUGGUCUCACCUAUCGAGACAAAUUGAGGAAGGUCGGGACUCCAAAGGGCAGAGUGCUGGGAAAAAACCAGGCGCCGCGAGGCGACGGAAAGUGCAACAGAAAACAAACCGCCGAUGGGUUGGCAACGUCAAUCACAGGCAAGGCUGAAACGGUGCGGUAAGAGCGCACCAGCGCGCAGGGCGAUCUGCGCGGCUUGUAAACCCCACUCGGAGCAAGGCCAAGCAGGAAUCAAGUUGCUCGCUCCACGAUUCCGGGUAGGCCGCUUAGAUGGAUGGUCACCCAAGUGGCCUUAGGCCACUGGACAGAAUCCCGCCUACAGGCCGACUCACCGC
rnacentral:RNase_P_RNA from 1 species